UCCAUUUCAGAACACUCUCAGACGCUAUUGGUGUAAGUUUAUUCAGUGUGCGGUGUGUCCGAGAUAUUUGUUGAAGUUCGAUUGUGUUUGGGAUUACUGCUGGAUUUUUCAAGAAGUUUAAUCGUUUUAAAAAAUCAUACAAUUCCAUCAGUUUGUCUACCCGUUACAAUAAGAAGAGCAUUCAAAAGUUGUACCCCACACUAUAGAACAAGGCAGAUCAUCUGCAGAUAAUCUACCAACUAUCCACUCCCCUAGUACCGCAGAAUUUACUUUCCUAGUAGGAAAAGAGGGGAUCGAGUAACCCUGGAACUUGAUGGUAUUGGUCACGAAGCAAGGACUACAUGAGGCAUUCUUACACAUCAAUACAUUUAACCACCAGCAGACUGAACAGGCCAGUAUCUACGCGCGCUAUUAAUAUUAAAGUCAAUGAGAUUUAACGCCAUGCCUUACGGAAGCGAAUAAAUCAUUGGGCAGCAGCCAGUUGCUGAAACGGUUUUCUUUAGCCUUGCAUGGGCAAUAUCAUUGAGGGAUUUAAUUCUGCAAGACUGCAGCUCGCCAUCAGACUUCUGCACUACAAUAACUUCAACAUGGAUGCCCGAGAGCACUUUUACUGGCUGUUAUUAAAGAGAUCAUCAACCACAUUCUGCAUUGACGAGAGGAGCUAAAGGAUUGUCACGUCUAUGAAAUCUGGCGGUUGUCAAAUGUCUCAUCGAUGAAGAAAAAAGUUUGAGAAUUAAGGCCACACCCACAUAAUGUCGAAUUAGCAACUCUACGGCAGCUUGUGGUUGUGCCCAUUAAGGAGAAAUUGGCUGGUGGAGUAGUAUGUCUAAUAGAGAUGAAUUAGCAUUUAUAAAACCUAUCUUACCAAAGAAGGAGGCUCAUGAGAAAGAGAGAAGGAAAGGUAACCAUCCAUGAGUGACAUUGAAUUUGCACUUAUGUAGCAGCUGGUGUGGUUGUUACAUGCUGAACGUGACUGAAGGCAGGUUGCAUCUAAAUGGUGUGAUGUUGAUGUAGCAUCCCUAUGCUAGCUGGAUACGUAUCGCCCUGGUGAUAUUGAAACAAGUACCUCAGUGGCAGCUGGUUACUUGUUGUAGCUGGUUACUUGUCUCACCGAAAAAGAAUUUGAGAGGAAGAUUCCAUCCACGUGGUUUUAGCUGAAUUUGAUGCAUUAUAACGUAGUCUGCAGUUGGUAAAGAAGAUAGGGUAGUUAAUUGCAUCUACAUUAGUCCUGAAUUUGACUCACUGGAAACGUGUUGAGUUGUUGAACUGAUGUGACUCCUGGGGAAUGAGCCAUCAAUCUAAAUACCCACAUCUACAUUGAGUGAAAGACUUGACCCAGUGGUGUGGCUGCGUUGGUGAAGGAAGACUACUUCAGCUGCUGGUUGCAUUCACCUAGAGGUGCUUAACCUGUUUUACAGUAGAGAUAGAGGACUUGGUUGACAGGAUAUGUUAGCACACUCGCCAACCACAGACUGUAAACCAUUGUAGUAAAACAAGUUAACACUUCUGCGUGAAUAGAGCCAGUUGCUAAAGUAGUCUUCCUUACACAAACACUGUCACACCACCGGGACAAGUCUUCUCCUCAAAAAUGUAGAAGCAGGCAGUUAAUCAUGGCAGAGGCUCCCCCUGCAAACCACUAUGGCAGCCAAGUGACGAAGUAGUCUUCCAAGCUGUAUUCAACUUCCAAAUUAUAGUCACCUUAAAGGGAUUAUGUAACUCUCACAAAUUACUGUAAGGCCGAAUUUCCUUAAUGAUCUGCAUUUUUGUAUCUGUAAAAAA